UAUCUCCCUCCCGUAUGAAAUGCUAAAAUCUCAAUUCCUCUCUUAAAAUUCCGUCUCCUAAUAAAUCCUCAACGCCUCCACCAAUUCUCUCAUUUGAAUUCAAGUUUAGAAAUACGAACUCUCUCUCUUAGACUGGUCCCUAAUGUUAAAUCCCUGGGGCAAAUCACGUGUAAGGUAUCUUUUUCUCUCUCUUUAUGGGUUUUAAUCUCACACAAACACAUACAUACCCGAAAACGCACCGCCAUCAAACCACUUACCGCCACCAUCGCAGAAAAUCCAUCAUGCCAGUCGUCGCCGCCUACCACCACCUUCGUAAUCUCCAUUAGCCACCACAGGUACCCUCGAGACCAUCUUCAACACCUUUAUUUUAGAUUUAUAGGUUUGGAUAUUGUUGUUCCAUUUUUCUUCUUUUCGCUUUAUACCCUCGAUUUUGUAGUUGUAACAUACCAACACCUUCGUCGCCAUCAGCCACCAGAGGGUAAAACCAUAUUUUUUGUAUAUUUUUUUCGAUUAAAAGAUUUUGGAUUUUGUUGUUAAUUUUUCUUUUUGACUUAUAGGUUCAUCUUUCAGGUAAGUAUGCACCAAGGGUUAUCUAUCUGAGUAUCGUUUGUACACGUUCCCUCUGAUUUAGUUUUUAUAUCGAUUUUCUUUUUCCCUCAAUUCUUGAUUUUGAUUAACUUGUGGUUUUUGAUUCUAAUGAAGGGUUGAUGUUGGUUCCAUCUCUCUUUCACUCUCACAUAACGUUGUCGAUCCUCAGGGUUUAUAUCACCUCCCUCAUAGAUUAAAGCAAGGACCAAACAAGAAUCAAACAAGGCAAAAGUUGAUUCAAAAGCUAUUUACCGACUAAAGAUGUGUUUCAUUUCAUAUUCUAAUCUAUAUGUUAUGUAUUUAUUUAUUUUGUGAAUUAAUUCUAAUUUUAUUAGAUUUUCAGAUUUUGUGGGUUCUUGAAAUUUGUGAUUGAUGGUGAAGUUUUUUGUUUUUUUUUUCAAGUUAUGUUGAGUUGUACAUAGCUUGCUUCAAUCUUUUCCUCUAAAAAAUGUGAAAUCUACAAGUUCAUUGCAUAUCUGUUCCUUCUCCAUCUUCAUUUCAUAAAAAAAUCCAAUGGAUUAUUUAUUUUGAGUGUUCAGUGGAAUGGAAUGGGUUAUUCCAAUAAAAUGGAAAAAAAAAAACAUAUGUUUCUGAGUUUGUUUUCUUCUAUAGGGUAUGUGAUUUGUGUUUUGUUCUCAUAUUAAGUGGUUUGAGUGAUAACUUUCAUAUGGGUAUCAAAAUUAGGGGUGUUGAUCGGGUAAAGUUUUCGGGUUUCGGGUAGAACAUGUCGGGUAGUUCGGGUAUUUCAUUAAAAUAAUAAAACUCGAUACCCGGCCUAUAUUGUAAUUUGGAUUCUUGGGUUUCGGGUAUUCAGGUUUUAGGUCGGGUGAGGUAUUUUCGGGUAUACCCGAAAAUUACUUAAAUGUCACAUACUGAUUUUUUUAAAUUCUUUUUUCGCAUUUUGCUUGCUUUAAUAAAAAAUUGGGUAACAAAAUAUUCCAUACAAUUAAUAAGUAUAUAUAUAAUAACAAUACAAGUCAUUAUAAUAUGUUAUGUGAUUUUUGCAUUCCAUUUCAAAUUUUGAUAAAAAACAGUUUUAUGAAGUACAUGAUCAAUGUUUGAUCAAAUUUGAAUUAACCAAACAUGUUACAUUAUUUAAUUCAAAAAGUGAGUAUAGAAAGUUAUAAUUUUUUUUAGCAUGUUAUCUAAAUUGCAGGGACCAAUUAUAUUGCUAUAUAUCAAUUCACAAAGAAGAAAUGACAAAAAAGAAACAUGUGCAUAGUUGAAAAAAAAAGAAACAAAUUCGUAGUGCACAAAGAAAAUGAAGAGGAAUCUAACAUCUUAUUCAUUUUCAUUAUAUUUGUUGUAACAUUCUGUUCAAAACUUCAUUUCAUUUUCAACAAUUUCUUUUGUAUUUGUUAUAUACCGUUCAAAUAAGAAGUCAUAUAACAUUUGGUUUAAACUAUAAAGAACAAUAAUUAUGUAAAAUAAUGAUACAACUUUAAUAGUUAUUAUAACUAAUGUAUUAAUUAGUCUUUUUUUUCUAAAUCGGGUAUUCAGGUAUACCUGAAUUUUUAUAAACCUACCCAAUAUCCGACCUAUUUAAAUAUCGGGUUACCCAAUUACCCGAAUUUUCAAACCCGAAACCCGAUUUACCCGACCCGAUCUACCUGAAUUUUAAACGGGUCGGGCCGAGUAAUCAGGUAUUGGGUAUUUUCAACAGGCCUAAUCAAAAUUACUAUUUAGUUUUGGUUUUAUGAUUUUUAAGGUUAAUACAAUUAAAUGGGCUAUUUAAGGACAAAGCAACUUUACUAAAGUAAGCUUUUACAUAAGCGUCUCUCUCUCUCUCUCUCUCUCUCUCUCUCUCUCUCUCUCUCUCUCUCUCUCUCUCUCUCCUGAUGCCUUAUCUAAGGCCAAAUAAACUUUACGAAAGUGCAAGGAGCUUACUGGAGAAAAUAAAAGAAGAUCCCCCUUCUAAGCCUAAAUUCUACCAUCUAUUGGAAGCCUAAAAAACUGGAGGAAGCCAUAACACUCCAUCCAAAGAGGGAAAAAGACUCAUUGAAGAUGGUGGAGAUGAUAGAGCUUAUUGUUGUCAAAAUUUUAAGGUUGUUUUACUCGAAGUCGAUGUUGGUUUACUCUAAAUAGGAAACAUAUUAAAGCAUGUAUUUUCGCAUGAGAUACUUCUCUUAAGUCACUCUUUUCCUACCUAGCAAUCAAGAAUAUUUGGGCUUCAGAAGUUAUAGCUUUUGGAUUUUAUGUUCAACAAAUAGACUCAUUGAAGAUGGUGGAGAUGAUAGAGCUUAUUGUUGUCAAAAUUUUAAGGUUGUUUUACUCGAAGUCGAUGUUGGUUUACUCUAAAUAGGAAACAUAUUAAAGCAUGUAUUUUCGCAUGAGAUACUUCUCUUAAGUCACUCUUUUCCUACCUAGCAAUCAAGAAUAUUUGGGCUUCAGAAGUUAUAGCUUUUGGAUUUUAUGUUCAACAAAUAGGUAUCAAAAAGAAAAAUAAUGACUUUUGUUUUGUUUUGCUAACUGUUUAGAAGUUAACCUAACCGUGUGUAUGUUUGUUGCAAUCUUCAUAAUAUAGAAUUUUGUGUCAACAUUUUCAAUUUUA